AGUGAACGCUGGCGGUAGGCCUAACACAUGCAAGUCGAACGGCAGCACAGUAAGAGCUUGCUCUUACGGGUGGCGAGUGGCGGACGGGUGAGGAAUACAUCGGAAUCUACUUUUUCGUGGGGGGUAACGUAGGGAAACUUACGCUAAUACCGCAUACGACCUACGGGUGAAAGCAGGGGAUCUUCGGACCUUGCGCGAUUGAAUGAGCCGAUGUCGGAUUAGCUAGUUGGCGGGGUAAAGGCCCACCAAGGCGACGAUCCGUAGCUGGUCUGAGAGGAUGAUCAGCCACACUGGACCUGAGACACGGUCCAGACUCCUACGGGAGGCAGCAGUGGGGAAUAUUGGACAAUGGGCGCAAGCCUGAUCCAGCCAUACCGCGUGGGUGAAGAAGGCCUUCGGGUUGUAAAGCCCUUUUGUUGGGAAAGAAAAGCAGCAGGUUAAUACCCCGCUGUUCUGACGGGACCCAAAGAAUAAGCACCGGCUAACUUCGU
rnacentral:rRNA from 1 species